rnacentral:rRNA from 1 species
CCCUUAGAUGUUCUGGGCCGCACGCGCGCUACACUGAUUCAUGCAACAAGUUUUGUCCUUGGCUGAUAGACCUGGGUAAUCUUUGAACGUGAAUCGUGAUGGGGAUAGAUGAUUGCAAUUAUUCAUCUUCAACGAGGAAUUCCUAGUAAACGCAAGUCAUCAGCUUGCAUUGAUUACGUCCCUGCCCUUUGUACACACCGCCCGUCGCACCUACCGAUUGAAUGGUCCGGUGAAAUCUUCGGAUCUGAGAGAUGUCUGAUUAAUUUCGGACGCCUUUUGGAAAAGUUGUUUAAACCUUACCAUUUAGAGGAAGGUGAAGUCGUAACA